UCCUUUCAUUUUUCCAGCUAU
ensembl:piRNA 21ur-767 ncRNA